GGAAGGAUCAUUAACAAAUCAUGUAGCUGGGAGGGGUAAAACCCGCCUUGGCUAAUAUGUUCGAGGCAGCAAUGCUUCGCGACAUGCACGCUUGUCUUGUUUGUCAGAGUAAAUGGUAACAUAUAAUUGAGACAACUUUUAACAAUGGAUCUCUUGGCUCUUGCAACGAUGAAGAACGCAGUAAAGUGCGAAAUGUAGUGCGAUUUGCAUGAAUCUGUGAGUCAUCUAAUCUUUGAACGCAACUUGCGCCUAAUAAGGCAUGUCUGUUUGAGUACCGCAAACUAACUGCAGCAAUGCAAAGUGGUCAUGGCGUUGGGCCUUGACUUGAAAGCGGCAUGUUUGCUGUUGGGUGUGCUAUCCCGUGUGCUAGAGACGCAAGACGCAAGUCACGCAAGUCUUCUCACUGGGCGGCGGACCCCUCAGCUCUCUCGAUAUGUAUAUGUGAUGUGAAUGGAUAUGGUGCUUAUGUAUCGUGUCGUAUCAUGUCAUCAUGUCGUAUCGGGUCUAUUCUGUGUAUUCGGUCUCAAAUCAGGCAAGACUACCCGCUGAACUUAAGCAUAUCAGUAAGCGGAGGAAAAGAAACUAACAAGGAUUCCCCUAGUAACGGCGAGUGAAGCGGGAAUAGCUCAAAUUUAAAAUCUCGACGGCCUCCGUCGCGAAUUGUAGUCUAAAGAAGGUGAUCUAGGCGAGGUUGGUUGACCAAGUCCCUUGGAAUAGGGCGCCAGAGAGGGUGAGAGCCCCGUAAAGUCAACUGAGCGAGCUCAAGUGAAAGCCUCUCUAAGAGUCGAGUUGUUUGGGAAUGCAGCUCAAAGUGGGUGGUAAAUCUCAUCUAAGGCUAAAUAUUGGCAAGAGACCGAUAGCGAACAAGUACCGUGAGGGAAAGAUGAAAAGCACCUUGAAAAGGGAGUUAAACAGUACGUGAAAUUGUUAAAAGGGAAACGAUUGAGAUCAGUGUUGGGUUAGGGUUCAAGUCGAUGCUCCGGUGUUGGCGGCGACCCUGAUCCGAGUCAACGCCAGUUGUGGCUGCCGGAUACGUACUCGAGGAAGGUGGGGUCGUCUUAGGGCGGCUCUUUAUAGACUCGAGUGUCUGCGGCAGCGGCGACUGGAAGAGAGGCGACGCGGGUGGUAAUUUUGUGGCCUAGUUCUUAGACAGCUUGCUGACUGAGGACGUAGCCUCUCAUGAACUGCCAACCUAGUCUCUCGUCUUUGACGAAAUGGUCUUAAACGACCCGUCUUGAAACACGGACCAAGGAGUCUAACAAUCUUGCAAGCAUUAGAGUGGAAAACUCGAGAUGCGCAAUGAAAGUGAAAGCCUGCGAGCAUUUGCGCAGCAGGGACCGGCCUGAAAUUAUCAUGACAGGACCGAGUAAGAGUAAAAUUGUUGGGACCCGAAAGGCGGUGAACUAUGCCUGACUAGGGCGAAGCCAGAGGAAACUCUGGUGGAGGCUCGUAGCCGUUCUGACGUGCAAAUCGAUGGUAAAAGUUGGGUAUAGGGGCGAAAGACUAAUCGAACCGCCUAGUAGCUGGUUCCCUC
rnacentral:misc_RNA from 1 species